GAUGAAGAUCGUAGCGAAAUGCGAUAAGUAAUGUGAAUUGCAGAAUCCAGUGAAUCAUCGAAUCUUUGAACGCACAUUGCGCCCGCCAGCAUUCUGGCGGGCAUGCCUGUUCGAGCGUCAUUUCAACCCUCGACCUCCCUUUGGGGAAGUCGGCGUUGGGGACCGGCAGCACACCGCCGGCCCUGAAAUGGAGUGGCGGCCCGUCCGCGGCGACCUCUGCGUAGUAAUCCAACUCGCACCGGAACCCCGACGCGGCCACGCCGUAAAACACCCAACUUCUGAACGUUGACCUCGAAUCAGGUAGGACUACCCGCUGAACUUAAGCAUAUCAAUAAGCGGAGGA
rnacentral:misc_RNA from 1 species